GUCCACAUCAUCUCCAUAUCAGGUCCAAGUGCUACACUUGGGGAAAAUGGUUUCACUGAAGUGUGUGAGGACUCGGUGCUGGGGCCAGAGGCUCUAGAGGCCCAGGAACCAGCCCUUUCCCAGGUGGCACUGCCCUGCCCUGCCCUGAGAGUCCCCAGGUAGCCUGAGAAUUGGCAAAGUUUAAGAUGCAGAUGGACUAAAAGGGAAUCUUGUGGGGAACUGACCAGCCGAAGCUGGACAGGUUCCCAGCAUGCAUUAAGCUGCCUGUGUAUCUGCCCUAUUGUCCUGUCAGGGAUGACACUACUUUAGGCUUGGCUAAAGCUCCACUCAUGAUGAUGGUUAAGGGCAAAUCUGAGAAAGUUCUAGAAGCGGUGGUGCAUUUUUGUGAGGUGCAUUUUUGUGAGGAGGGGGUGUCAUAAAAGCAGGAUAAUGCCUACUGAGUUGUAGACCCACCCUAACACCCUCGCAAGUUAUCCACAUGGGCCACCCAGGAUGACCUUUGACUUACAGGGAAUCUAAUUCUCAGAAGACACCUCAUGGUCUCCCUGGAGUGUGAGAACUGAGAGGUGUAAGAAACUCAAUCUAAGAAUGUUCCCCAUUUCCCGUCCUGUUUGGCUGCAAAAUCUUCCGCCACAGGUCUGUAGAUGCCUGUAGUACCUGUCCCUCAGUCCAUGUGGUUGUUCUGUCUUCUUGUUUCUCAGUGACAUCCUAUUUGGUAUGAUGGGCAAGGACCAGGAUGAACUGGUCUCUCUGGCGACCAGUCCUUUCUCCACCCAGGUGCUGCUGGCCCGUCUUGAUCCAGGAUUCUAGGAGACCUUCCCUACUCCCAUGUCCUUCUCCUGCUAGCUCUCUUCCCACCCAAAACUCUGCCUCCAUCCACCCAUCAUAGGAUGCUUCACUGGUAGGCAUUCUGCUGUCUUCACCUGAGCACAUAAACACUUAAUAUUGGUCAAAUUUAAAUGUGAAAAUAUACAGCUUUUACAAAUAAUACGAGAAAACCAUCUUCAGGAAUUAAGUUAGGAAAGAAGUCUCAGAUUGCAAACCAAAAUAAACCAGCUGGAC